GUCACAACACAGGUCAAAUACAACAUGUCAUAUAAAUCACAGUCGCAUUAUAGUAACAGUUGAGCAAAAAGAUAUAGAAUGGUUCUUGUACAUCAACAGUUAGUAGGGUUAUCACAUCCACAAUACAUCAAAAUUUCCAAAUCUUUCCAAAUUAUAUUUGAAAUCCAAAAUAUCCUUCACAUCCAUCUGCUUCCCAACAGUCGGGCAUCACCAAAUUCUAAGAUACCGGGCGAAGCUCUGACCUGGAUGUAUGUACCCGUUCCAAACUCGACCGGCAACAAAUGAGGUAGAUUAGAUGAUCUCUGUUCUCACUGCAAGCAAACAUCAACUGCAUAUAAUUUUAAGAGAUUAGCUCAAUACAAAUCUUGCACACCACUGUACCUAAAUAGUGCAAGAACACUUGGCAUACCACUGUACCUGAAGGCCUCUAAACAAAUCUAAACCUGAAGACAAAAAAGCCACCAAGGAACACUAUAUUGAUAUCAUUCAGUACCAUAUGGAAAAUAUUUCUUCUAUUAUAUUUCUAUACCAGUAAGAAGAAAAUUUAGAGUAUAUAAAUGAUUAAGUAGCAAUGCUGCAGAAGUGGGAGAAUAUAAGAGCAAAAGAGUAUGGAAAAGGACUAUUUUUUAAAGGAUAAAAUAGUGAUAGGAUUACUGAUCCAUAGACUAUAUAGUCCAUGGGAUUGAAGCAUGAAGCUAAUAAAGAGUACUGAGUACUGUCAUAUUCCAUUAGGCCCAUAAAACAAAAUAAGUCAAGAAUACUGAUUUUGCUUGUUAAUGAUGAUGUUUAUUAUCAAACACAAUUAAGUAUACUAUAUGUUUAAUCCAGCACAACUUGACAAGAAUGAUAGAAAGGACGGUUACUCAUCAACUUGUAUGUAUAUCUAUAUAGGGAUGAUCACCAGUCAUCAAGAUCAUACUCAGCAACCUAGAAGCAAAAAACUGUCAAAGAAGACGAACAUAAUUUUUUGGAUUUUUUUUCAAUAAUAAACUUUAAAAUUAAGAUUUAUUACUUCAAAAAAUUAUUGACAAAUAAUGAAGAAACUCAAUAUUCGAAGAAAAAAAAAGUUAAUAACAAAGUAGGACUCUCAUUUUCAGACGAAUGAAGUACAAUAUUACAGUAAUUAGAUACCUUCAACUUUAUUACGACCACGUCAUAUGACAGCAAGCCAAGGUUUAUUUUUUGAACAUAAACUAUUUAAAAACUGUCUCAGUUACUGCUGCUGAACCCAUAAUUCACAAUAUUUACUUAUCUUGAUAAUGAAAUCAGGACUGCACAAAAAACUGUGUCUAGUUUUUCUGUCAUAUGGCUACUAUUUACUCGGUAUGCUAACAUUCAGUUCUAGUUCAAGGCAGCAACAAAUAUUGGUGAUUAAAAAAAUUAUUUAGAAAUAAGAAAAGUUGCAAUAAAGUUAUCAUUUGGCAAAGUACACUCACCCAUACUGAAGUAAUUCCAGAAACCUCCUUGAAAUGUGUGACAACCUUCCUGAGAAGUGUUCAAACAGUUGUCAAUAAAAAAAAGAUGCAUAUACUGUUAAUUCAAAAGAAGAUUUCUAAAAAAGAUGCAUGUACAGUUUAUCCUUGUAACAUGAUAUGGGUUUGUUUUUAAGAGGAGUUUAUCCUUGUAACCUGUCUUUAAAACCAUAGAUGCAAUCCUAAAAGAGACAAAUUCAUAUCCUGGCCUAAGUGAGUAGAACAAAUACCAGCUAACCAAAGAAAAAAAAUCAGAUGAAUAGAAGGCUUUAAAUAAAAAAAUCAUUUAAAUAAAAGACUUUUGCAAACGAAACAAAUCAUUUAAAUAAAAAAUAGAUAUCCACUAAGACUGAGGUAGAGAAUAUAUACUAUAAGCAAGACUCCAAGCUGUGAUUUCAUAGCUGACCAAUUUAUUGCCAUUGGAAUAGAAGAGCAGAAGGCAAAGGUCAAGAUAAUGUCUAGAGCACUAUCAUUAAUUGCUCAGAUUUCCCUACAUACCCCAGUACUUUCCGGCAUGCUCCUUUUUGUCUUCCUUUUAUACUUCAGAGUUCAGAAUAUGUCUUUCAAUCUUUU
rnacentral:lncRNA from 1 species